rnacentral:rRNA from 1 species
GACGAACGCUGGCGGCGUGCCUAAUACAUGCAAGUCGACCUUAGUGGCGAACGGGUGAGUAACACGUGGGUAACCUGCCCAUCAGAAGGGGAUAACACUUGGAAACAGGUGCUAAUACCGUAUACUGAUGGAUGGACCCGCGGUUCAUUAGCUAGUUGGUGAGGGAACGUCUCACCAAGGACACGAUGCAUAGCGGACCUGAGAGGGUGCUCGGCCACAUUGGGACUGAUCCACGGCCCAAACUCCUACGUGAUGCAGCAGUAGGGAAUCUUCGGCAAUUGACGAAAGUCUGACCGAGCAACGCCGCGUGAGUGAAGAAGGUUUUCGGAUCGUAAAACUCUGUUGUUAGAGAAUCGGUAUCUAACCAGAAAGCCACGGCUAACUACGUGCCAGCAGCCGCGGUAAUAC